GCUUUGCCAGGCUUAGCUGGAUGAGUCACGGCCUAGGGAUGCUGUGCUGAACCAUUUUGCCUAACGAGGGUAGGCAAAAUCGCUUCUCUCAGAGCAGAUGCCAGUCUGCAUGUUGAACAGAACCUGAGUCCAUGUGUAUCCUCAGGAUAAAUAGUGGACAGAUCAAUAAGCUGACCAUGCUGCUCAGUUUAACAGCCCAAAACUCGGUGCAAUUCUCAGCCUGGACUUGGAUUUUGCCAUCUAAUCUGCAGGAAAUAACAGUUAAUGUUCAAAGGGCGUAGCUAUAGACAUCUUUAUACCUAGGUUUAUACACCUUGCAUAAAGGCUUUGGUGCACCAGGAGAAAGUAAUCUCAUACCAAACCAUCUCAAGUUUUCCCAGCUCUGCUUAAGCCAAGUUCCUGUGUGCCCGUGUUUCUUCAUGGUUUGUGAAUAACCUAUAGUCUUUUUGUUCUGUUAUGCAGUGGGAGAUGGUGAAGGACAUCCCAGAGUUUGGAUUGCACAGUUAUGACAAAAUAACACAGGCUGGAGAUUCACAGCCUGCUUUAACUGAAGCACUACCUGUCUGGGAGCACUCUGAGAACCGACUCUGGUGAGGUCAGGAGCACUGCUGCUGGUGAAGUAAGUGGCAGCAGCAAGUAGUCAUUAAGAAAGAAGAGAGCUGGGCAACCCCCCUUUGAUAGCAGCCACGUGACAGCAACACAGCUACAGCAUGAGACUGUACCUUGAAAGUGUGUUUUUUAUUGUUAA